GACGAACGCUGGCGGCGUGCUUAACACAUGCAAGUCGAACGGAAAGGCCCUGCUUUUGUGGGGUGCUCGAGUGGCGAACGGGUGAGUAACACGUGAGUAACCUGCCCUUGACUUUGGGAUAACUUCAGGAAACUGGGGCUAAUACCGGAUAGGAGCUCCUGCUGCAUGGUGGGGGUUGGAAAGUUUCGGCGGUUGGGGAUGGACUCGCGGCUUAUCAGCUUGUUGGUGGGGUAGGGGCUUACCAAGGCUUUGACGGGUAGCCGGCCUGAGAGGGUGACCGGCCACGUUGGGACUGAGAUACGGCCCAGACUCCUACGGGAGGCAGCAGUGGGGAAUAUUGCACAAUGGGCGGAAGCCUGAUGCAGCAACGCCGCGUGCGGGAUGACGGCCUUCGGGUUGGAAACCGCUUUCGCCUGUGACGAAGCGUGAGUGACGGUAAUGGGUAAAGAAGCACCGGCUAACUACGUG
rnacentral:rRNA from 1 species